UCAUCUUAGCUCAGUCGGUAGAGCAUGAGAGUCUUAACCUCCGAGUCAUGGGUUCGAGUUUCAUGUUGGGUGAA